rnacentral:pre_miRNA from 1 species
CAGAUUACUGAUUUUGAUCAACAUUGUCUGAAAUACUAAAUCAAUUAGAUGUUAAUAUAUAUUUUUCUGAAAACUUGGUCAAAGUUAGAGAAGUUUGACUU